GGUGUAGUAUCCAAAUUGGUGAAGGAGGCAGACUGUAAAUCUGUUGCCACAGGCUAAACUUAUAGGUUCGAAUCCUAUCUGCACCA
rnacentral:tRNA from 1 species